rnacentral:rRNA from 1 species
GAUGAACGCUAGCUACAGGCUUAACACAUGCAAGUCGAGGGGCAGCAUGAACAUAGCUUGCUAUGUUUGAUGGCGACCGGCGCACGGGUGCGUAACACGUAUCCAAUCUGCCCGUUACUCGGGGAUAGCCUUCUGAAAGGAAGAUUAAUACCCGAUGGCAUUCAUUAGCGGCAUCGCUUUUGGAUUAAAGAUUUAUCGGUAACGGAUGAGGAUGCGUACGAUUAGCUGGUUGGCGGGGUAACGGCCCACCAAGGCGACGAUCGUUAGGGGUUCUGAGAGGAAGGUCCUCCACACUGGAACUGAGACACGGUCCAGACUCCUACGGGAGGCAGCAGUGGGGAAUAUUGCACAAUGGGGGAAACCCUGAUGCAGCGACGCCGCGUGAACGAAGAAGUAUUUCGGUAUGUAAAGUUCUAUCAGCAGGGAAGAUAAUGACGGUACCUGACUAAGAAGCACCGGCUAAAUACGUG